AGAAACUAAGAAAAAGUGAAAACAUUUGGCUAUGACUGUAGAAUUAAGAGUUGAUAAAAUAAGUAAGCACUAAAAGUAUGUAUGUGUAAUCAACAGUCUUUUCGCGUGGAAAUGGAGAAAUGGAAAGACAAACGCAUUAAACGGAAAGGUGUGUACGUGUCACCGUUAGUGACCGAACUGCCACUGAAGAAAAAGAAAACUGAGAUAAAAGGGAAGACCACUGUUCAAACCUUUAAACAGGAACAGCACAAACAACAUGAUGCUCGUCAAAACCAGGAUGAGAGCCAGGAACAAAUAGCCGUUUGCCAAAAAUAGCAACAUACAUGGCUAAUAAAGUGUCGGUCACAGUAUGGAAAGGAGAUUUAUGUGCCUUCAAAGUGGAUGCAAUUGUGAAUGCAGCUAAUGAAAGUCUCUCUCACAUGGGUGGACUUGCAAAGGCACUGUCUGCUACUGGAGGACGUACUAUCCAAGCAGAGAGUGAUGUCUUCAUUGCCAAAAAUGGCAAAUUAAAGGCUGGACAAGUUGCAGUUACCACAGCAGGCAAACUACCUUGCAUGAAGCUGAUUCAUUUGGUAGGCCCGUGUCUGCAGAAUGACCCCACAGUGCACAUGAUAUCCCAUGCAAAGAAACUUUUAACUAAAGGUAUUUUGAAUGUCAUGACAUGUGCAGAAGAGCACAAAUUUUCAUCUGUUGCCAUUCCAGCAGUGAGCUCUGGAAUAUUCAACUUUCCAGUCUCAAUUUGUGCUGAUGUUGUAGUCACCACAA